AGCAACAGGGACCCAAAUUUGGUUCGAAAAUCUAAAUAGCUCAUCAUCUAAAAUCCUGAAAUCAGGAGAUUCGUCAGAAGAGAACUUAAAUUCUUGGUGAGUUCUGGGUUCGUAGAUUGAGCCUCCCAAAUUUUCAUGAAGCGAUCCAGCAGGGAUCAGAUCUGAGCAAGAUAGGUGCCUUUGUCGUAGUAGCGAAGAUGGAGGGACUGCAUAGUAUCCAUGAAUUUCCAACUGGAGACCAUGGUUUGGGCCAACAGU
rnacentral:lncRNA from 1 species